UUAUACAAUGAUUAGAAAAACAACAUGUAAUGCCCAGAAAAUUCAUCUUAAUCAGAGCCAUCAUUAUAAUUUGACCCUGAUUAACAACACAUUAAAAUGCUAAACCGCUAAUUAGGAUUCCCAGGAAAAAAAAAAAAAAAAACUAUAGGUAACAGGUGUUCAGUUUAAUGGUAUACAUAUGCAUUCUGACAACUCUGCCGAGAGGAAUUUAGAGUUUUAAUGGCAUAAUUGCAUGUUGGAACGAGAACACUGUAAUCUUUCAACAACUUGAUUCAGAAGUUAAAGCUAAGCCAGACAUACGGUGAGGAAAAAAAAGAAUAUUGCAUAAAAAUGUCUAGUUUGCUGCUGUGAGCACUGAGAGGCUGUGGGAAACUGAACAGCAGAGGCAUGUAGACAAAAGUACUAUGUAGGUAAAAAAAAAAAAAAACAUCACAGACAAAACAACAAAGGUCUUCGGUGUGAAACAGAGACAAAAAACAGCGGCAAAGGUAACAAACUAAAACUGUAUUUCACAUUGUAAGGCAGACAGAAAGAUUAAAGCAGAGUCUGUAGGUUUCAGAUCACAUCAGUGUUUACUUCAACCGAGCAAGCAACCCCAGAGGAGUGAAAAUCUGAAAGAAGCACAAAAGCUGCACAGUGCGGACUCUGAUCGGAGGGCGAGCUCUCGCCUGCACCUCACUCCUGUUUGCUUUCCCUGGCGAGGUUAUUGAUUCAACUUUGCUCUCUGAAGUCAGCGAUCAGACACGAGCACCGUCGGUAUAGGUGGGUCGGAGGUGAUGUUUGAGUGAAGGGUCAGGUGAAUUGAGUUAAUGCAGUGAUUUCAGCCAUGGGAAGAAGAGAGAAGAAAAGAAGAGAUAGCACUCCGGAAGACAUCUUUUGAUUCAUCUACUCUGCUAAUUGUCUGUUUGGCAAUACGGGAAAUGUUUCCUUCUGUCUGGCCGUCAUCAGUGUGUACGAAUGCAGGAAUACAGCCACUUUUGGAGGGUGCCGGCAUGCAGAUUUUAUGGCUGCCUCCCUCUCUUCCUCUCUGUGUCUUGCCUGCUAGUUUGCUCGCCUGCUGCACCCCUCAAGCGCUGCUGGAAUGCUGGGGCGAGAUAAAGAAGAGGCCCCGCUCUGAGCAGAGAUAGCUGCUGAGAUUAUCUUGCUGACCAGCUAGCAUCAGCCUGUCCAGCCUGAAGCUCCUGUGCUUGCGGUGAAACCACCAGCUCCCUCCCAGUGAUCUGAAUCUGCCAGUCCGGACUGCCAAACGCAUGGCUAACCAAGCUAUCUAGCUAACAGCAACCAAAGUCUAGCAGCAGUUAGCAGUUUCUCUGGUAAAAUGCUGCCCCCCUUUAUGUUUUGAAUUGGCCAAAUCUUACAUAUUUUGACUUUAAGAUGCAAAACAUGUGCACUAUUCAUGCUUUAUCAGUGGUGUCCCCUAAUCCUGAAUGUUUCUCUCAGCACUGCUGAUGCUUUAAAACUCAACAGAGCUUGUUGUUGUGUGUCAAAUUACUAGCAGUAAGCUGUUGAAAAACUUAAAUCACAUAUCAGUACAGUUUUUAACUGUAAGUUAGUGUGAAUAUAUGUUCUCAAUGCUUUAACACCAUGUUAACCAGGAUGCACCAGGGCUUCAAUCAGGAAAUUAAAUGAUUACUUCAACAACUACUGACUACUACUAAUAAUGUCUUUCAAUAUGCGAGCCAUCGCUCGGUGGAUGUGGCUAAAUUAGCUCGGUGCAGGCUGUGAUUCAUAAGUACAAUACAUCUUCAUUAUUAUCUGUGACUAAACUGUACAGCAGUAAGUAAUUGUCCACUCAGAAAUUACUCAUGCAACAUGUAGCCCGUAGCGAGGAGUGCAAGGCUGUGAGCCACAGUGCUCAAUACAAUAAACACUUAACAGCACUGAAACUACUGAUAGUGUAUCAAAAAUUGGAGGCCUGUUAGUUCAAAUUUGA